GACGAACGCUGGCGGCGUGCCUAAUACAUGCAAGUUGAGCGCUGAAGGUUGGUACUUGUACCAACUGGAUGAGCAGCGAACGGGUGAGUAACGCGUGGUGAAUCUGCCUUUGAGCGGGGGACAACAUUUGGAAACGAAUGCUAAUACCGCAUAAAAACUUUAAACACAAGUUUUAAGUUUGAAAGAUGCAAUUGCAUCACUCAAAGAUGAUCCCGCGUUGUAUUAGCUAGUUGGUGAGGUAAAGGCUCACCAAGGCGAUGAUACAUAGCCGACCUGAGAGGGUGAUCGGACACAAUGGGACUGAGACACGGAACAAACGCCUACGGGAGGCAGCAGAAGGGAAUAUUCGGCAAUGGACGAAAGUCUGACCGAGCAACGCCGCGUGAGUGAAGAAGGUUGUCGGAUCGUAAAACUCUGUUGGUAGAGAAGAACGUUGGUGAGAGUGGAAAGCUCAUCAAGUGACGGUAACUACCCAGAAAGGGAAGGCUAACUACGUG
rnacentral:rRNA from 1 species